rnacentral:rRNA from 1 species
CUGCGGCGCUACCUGCAGUCGACGGUAGCACAGAGAGCUUGCUCUCGGGUGACGAGUGGCGGACGGGUGAGUAAUGUCUGGGAAACUGCCUGAUGGAGGGGGAUAACUACUGGAAACGGUAGCUAAUACCGCAUAACGUCGCAAGACCAAAGAGGGGGACCUUCGGGCCUCUUGCCAUCAGAUGUGCCCAGAUGGGAUUAGCUAGUAGGUGGGGUAACGGCUCACCUAGGCGACGAUCCCUAGCUGGUCUGAGAGGAUGACCAGCCACACUGGAACUGAGACACGGUCCAGACUCCUACGGGAGGCAGCAGUGGGGAAUAUUGCACAAUGGGCGCAAGCCUGAUGCAGCCAUGCCGCGUGUAUGAAGAAGGCCUUCGGGUUGUAAAGUACUUUCAGCGGGGAGGAAGGUGUUGUGGUUAAUAACCACAGCAAUUGACGUUACCCGCAGAAGAAGCACCGGCUAACUCCGUGCCAGCAGCCGCGGUAAUACGGAGGGUGCAAGCGUUAAUCGGAAUUACUGGGCGUAAAGCGCACGCAGGCGGUCUGUCAAGUCGGAUGUGAAAUCCCCGGGCUCAACCUGGGAACUGCAUUCGAAACUGG